rnacentral:rRNA from 1 species
CAUAUCAAUAAGCGGAGGAAAAGAAACCAACAGGGAUUGCCUCAGUAACGGCGAGUGAAGCGGCAACAGCUCAAAUUUGAAAUCUGGCCCCCAGGGUCCGAGUUGUAAUUUGUAGAGGAUGCUUUUGGUGAGGUGCCUUCCGAGUUCCCUGGAACGGGACGCCAUAGAGGGUGAGAGCCCCGUCUGGUUGGACACCGAGCCUCUGUAAAGCUCCUUCGACGAGUCGAGUAGUUUGGGAAUGCUGCUCUAAAUGGGAGGUAUAUGUCUUCUAAAGCUAAAUAUUGGCCAGAGACCGAUAGCGCACAAGUAGAGUGAUCGAAAGAUGAAAAGCACUUUGAAAAGAGGGUUAAAAAGUACGUGAAAUUGUUGAAAGGGAAGCGCUCAUGACCAGACUUGGGCUUGGCGAAUCAUCCAGCGUUCUCGCUGGUGCACUUCGCCUCGUUCAGGCCAGCAUCAGUUCGUCCCGGGGGAUAAAAGCUUCGGGAACGUGGCUGCUUCGGCAGUGUUAUAGCCCGCUGUAUAAUACCCUGGGGUGGACUGAGGUUCGCGCUCCGCAAGGAUGCUGGCGUAAUGGUCAUCAGCGACCCGUCUUGAAACACGGACCAAGGAGUCGUCUUCGUAUGCGAGUGUUCGGGUGUCAAACCCCUACGCGUAAUGAAAGUGAACGCAGGUGAGAGCUUCGGCGCAUCAUCGACCGAUCCUGAUGUUCUCGGAUGGAUUUGAGUAAGAGCAUACGGGGCCGGACCCGAAAGAAGGUGAACUAUGCCUGUAUAGGGUGAAGCCAGAGGAAACUCUGGUGGAGGCUCGCAGCGGUUCUGACGUGCAAAUCGAUCGUCAAAUAUGGGCAUGGGGGCGAAAGACUAAUCGAA